GAUUUUUCUUCCUAUCAUAAGCAUUCAGCAUCAUCAUCAUGAGCAAUUUUUUAGCUUAAUUAGCUUGCUUCUAAAUCUAAUUACAAAGAGAAAGCGAGAUAAACUCUCAGUAUAAUCUCUACUAUAAAUAUGUAAUUACGUAAAUGAGGAGCAUUUCAUUUAAUUUCAUCUAGAAUGAAUCUAAACUGAUACUAAUCUAAAGAAGAGCAAAUCGCCAUCAUUCUAAAAGAAAUUUAACCCCCCAUGAAGUUCUUGCAACUGCUAAAUCGACAACCAUCAAAAUCAAUCAGAAUAAACCACCAAUUUCAGAACAUAACCAUCAUUGCAAUUCAAAAUCUAA
rnacentral:misc_RNA from 1 species